GACGAACCGUGCAAACGUUGUUCGGAAUCACUGGGCUUAAAGGGCGCGUAGGCGGGCAAGCAAGUCCGGGGUGAAAUCUUUCGGCCCAACCGGAAAAGGGCCUUGGAUACUGCUUGUCUGGAGGGAGGUAGGGGCAGACGGAACUUCCGGUGGAGCGGUGAAAUGCAUUGAGAUCGGAAAGAACACCAACGGCGAAAGCACUCUGCUGGGCCGACACUGACACUGAGAGACGAAAGCUAGGGGAGCAAAUGGG
rnacentral:rRNA from 1 species